ensembl:ncRNA F46E10.14 ncRNA
CUGUCUCUUAUGUUUGUCUGCCGUCUCACCGUGUAUCCCCUAUCAGCGCCCCCUGUCAACGUAUUCUAUCUUGUGAGCGUGCGUGUUCGAAACGGGUUUUCCCUUUUUCGUUGGAUGUGUAUGUGUGUGCGCCCCGAUGGAGACGGAGG